rnacentral:tRNA from 1 species
GUUUUUCUAAUAUAGUAAGUAUAAUUGACUUCCAAUCAAUAAGUCUGGGUUUUCCAGGAAAAACA